ACUCCAGUAUUCUUGCCUGGAGAAUUGCCUGGACAGAGGAGUCUGGUGGGCUACAGUCCAUGGGGCGUCAAAGAGUCGGACAGGACUGACUAACCAACACAACUGUAUUAGGUUUUCCAGAGAAACAGAACCAACAGGAGAUACUCACACCUACCUCUGUCUACCUAGGUCUAUAAAAUAAGGAAUUGAUUCAUGUGAUUGUGAUCUGCAAGCUGUGUCUGUAAGCUGGAGAUGCAGGAAAAGCCAGUGGGGUGGUUCCAGUCCCAGCCUGAAGGUCUGAGAACCUGGGGAACUCAUGACGCCUUCAACGGAUUGAAUGAUGCCACCACUCCGGGAGGGGCAUCCGCUUUACUCAGUCUACAGGACUGGACUGUCUUCCAGCAUCUAAACCACUC
ensembl:lncRNA